GACGAACGCUGGCGGCGUGGAUUAGGCAUGCAAGUCGAACGGUAUCAUCCUUUCGGGGGUGAGAGAGUGGCGAACUGGUGAGUAACACGUAGGUUAUCUACCCUCAAGACGGGGACAACCCAGGGAAACUUGGGCUAAUACCGGAUGUGAGCAACUUUUAGUUGUUUGAAAGGUGGCGUAAGCUGUCGCUUGGGGAUGAGCCUGCGUCCUAUUAGUUAGUUGGUGAGGUAACGGCUCACCUAGGCAAUGAUAGGUAGGCGGCCUUAACGGGUGUCGCCCACACUGGGAUUGAGAUACGGCCCAGACUCCUACGGGAGCAGCAGUCGAGAAUAGUCUACAAUGGUCGGAAGACUGAUAGUGCGACGCCGCGUGAACGAUGAAUCCCUUCGGGGUGUAAAGUUCUUUUAUAUGUGAGCAGUGCUUCUUAUAUUAACAGUAUGGGGAGAGAGAUAUUAGCAUAUGAAUAAGCAACGGCUAACUCCGUAGCCAGCAGCCGACGGUAAACA
rnacentral:rRNA from 1 species